rnacentral:rRNA from 1 species
AUUGAGAGUUUGAUCCUGGCUCAGGAUGAACGCUAGCGGCAGGCUUAAUACAUGCAAGUCGAGGGGCAGCAGAGUAUACGCAAGUAUACAGAUGGCGACCGGCGGACGGGUGAGUAAAAGGUAGGAGACCUACCUCAUACUGGGGGAUAGCACAGAGAAAUCUAUGGUAAUACCCCAUGAGGUUAUAUGAAUAGAGGCAUAUAAUCAAAGAUAGCGAGAGUUAUUGGUAUGAGAUGGGCUUACUGACCAUUAGCUAGUUGGUGAGGUAAGGGCUCACCAAGGCGAAGAUGGUUAGGGGUUUUGAGAGAGAGACCCCCCACAUUGGAACUGAGAGACGGUCCAGACUCCUACGGGAGGCAGCAGUAGGGAAUAUUGGGCAAUGGGCGGAAGCCUGACCCAGCCAUGCCGCGUGAAGGAAGACGGCCUUAUGGGUUGUAAACUUCUUUACUAUGCGAAUAGAGGUUAGUACGAGAUACUAAUAGGAAGGUAGCAUAGAAAAAAGCACCGGCUAACUCCGUGCCAGCAGCCGCGGUAAUACGGAGGGUGCGAGCGUUAUUCGGAGUUACUGGGUUUAAAGGGUGCGUAGGCGGUUAAAUAGU